AUACGGAGGGUGCGAGCGUUGUCCGGAAUCACUGGGCGUAAAGGGCGCGUAGGCGGCCUGGUAAGUAGGGGGUGAAAUCCUGCGGCUUAACCGCAGGGCUGCCUUCUAAACUGUCAGGCUCGAGCACGGUAGAGGCAGAUGGAAUUCCCGGUGUAGCGGUGGAAUGCGUAGAGAUCGGGAAGAACAUCAGUGGCGAAGGCGGUCUGCUGGGCCGUUGCUGACGCUGAGGCGCGACAGCGUGGGGAGCAAACAGGA
rnacentral:rRNA from 1 species